rfam:Cyanobacterium stanieri PCC 7202, complete genome.
GGAGAGGUGGCAGAGUGGUUGAAUGCGGCAGUCUCGAAAAUUGCUAAGGGGUAACACCCUUCGGGGGUUCGAAUCCCCCCCUCUCCG